AUUGAACGCUGGCGGCAUGCCUUACACAUGCAAGUCGAACGGCAGCACGGGUGCUUGCACCUGGUGGCGAGUGGCGAACGGGUGAGUAUUACAUCGGAACGUACCUUAUCGUGGGGGAUAACGCAGCGAAAGCUGUGCUAAUACCGCAUACGCCCUGAGGGGGAAAGCGGGGGAUCGCAAGACCUCGCGCGAUUAGAGCGGCCGAUGCCUGAUUAGCUUGUUGGUGGGGUAAAAGCCCACCAAGGCGACGAUCAGUAGCUGGUCUGAGAGGACGAUCAGCCACACUGGGACUGAGACACGGCUCAGACUCCUACGGGAGGCAGCAGUGGGGAAUUUUGGACAAUGGGGGCAACCCUGAUCCAGCAAUGCCGCGUGAGUGAAGAAGGCCUUCGGGUUGUAAAGCUCUUUUGUCAGGGAAGAAACACCGGCUCUAACACAGUCCGGGAAUGACGGUACCUGAAGAAUAAGCACCGGCUAACUACGUGCCAGCAGCCGCGGUAAG
rnacentral:rRNA from 1 species